ACGGAGGGUGCAAGCGUUAAUCGGAAUUACUGGCGGAAAAGGGCACCCAGCCGGUUUGUUAAGUCAGAUGGGAAAUCCCCGGGCUCAACCUGGGAACGGCAUCUGAUACUGGCAAGCUUGAGUCUCGUAGAGGGGGGUAGAAUUCCAGGUGUAGCGGUGAAAUGCGUAGAGAUCUGGAGGAAUACCGGUGGCGAAGGCGGCCCCCUGGACGAAGACUGACGCUCAGGUGCGAAAGCGUGGGGAGCAAACAG
rnacentral:rRNA from 1 species